rnacentral:rRNA from 1 species
GUGGGGAAUCUUGCGCAAUGGGCGAAAGCCUGACGCAGUCAUGCCGCGUGAAUGAUGAAGGUCUUAGGAUUGUAAAAUUCUUUCACCGGGGACGAUAAUGACGGUACCCGGAGAAGAAGCCCCGGCUAACUUCGUGCCAGCAGCCGCGGUAAUACGAAGGGGGCUAGCGUUGCUCGGAAUUACUGGGCGUAAAGGGCGCGUAGGCGGACAGCUUAGUCAGAGGUGAAAGCCCAGGGCUCAACCUUGGAAUUGCCUUUGAUACUGGCUGUCUUGAGUUUGGGAGAGGUGAGUGAAACUCCGAGUGUAGAGGUGAAAUUCGUAGAUAUUCGGAAGAACACCAGUGGCGAAGGCGACUCACUGGCCCAAUACUGACGCUGAGGCGCGAAAGCGUGGGGAGCAAACAGGAUUAGAAACCCUGGUAGUCC